UCUGACAGAUACCCUUCCCAUCAUUUGCUACCUGAUCACAGACUGAUCGUAGAUGCUAAGCAAGGUCAUAUCUUGUUAGUACUUGGAUGGAAGACCACCAGUGAAUACCAGGUGCUGUAAGCU
rnacentral:rRNA from 11 species